AGGACGAGCGCUGGCGGCGCGCUUAACACAUGCAAGUCGAGCGAUAACCAUGGCUUCGGCCAUGGGGAGAGCGGCGAACGGGUGAGUAACACGUGAGUAAUCUGCCCUCGACACUGGGAUAGCCCGGGGAAACCCGGAUUAAUACCGGAUAGCCUCUCGAGCUUUCGGGCUCGUGAGAAAAGAUGGCUUCGGCAUUCGGUUGAGGAGGAGCUUGCGGCGGAUUAGCUUGUUGGUGAGGUAACGGCCCACCAAGGCGACGAUCCGUAGCUGGUCUGAGAGGACGAUCAGCCACACUGGGACUGAGACACGGCCCAGACUCCUACGGGAGGCAGCAGUGGGAAUCUUGCGCAAUGGGCGAAAGCCUGACGCAGCGACGCCGCGUGAGGGAAGAAGGCCUUGGUGUAACCUCUUUCAGGAGGACGAAGCUACUCGGUUAAUAGCCAGAGGUGACGUACCUCCAGAAGAACGCCCGACUAACUACGUGCCAGCAGCCGCGGUAACG
rnacentral:rRNA from 1 species